ACCCGCACAAGCGGUGAUGAUGUGGAUUAAUUCGAUGCAACGCGAAAACCUUUACCUACCUUGACAUGUCCGGAAUCCCGAAGAGAUUUGGGAGUGCUCGCAAGAGAACCGGAACACAGGUGCUGCAUUGGCUGUCGUCAGCUCGUGUCGUGAGAUGUUGGGUUAAGUCCCGCAACGAGCGCAACCCUUGUCAUUAGUUGCCAUCAUUUGGUUGGGCACUCUAAUGAGACUGCCGGUGACAAACCGGAGGAAGGUGGGGAUGACGUCAAGUCCUCAUGGCUCUUAUGGGUAGGGCUUCACACGUCAUACAAUGGUCGGUACAGAGGGUUGCCAACCCGCGAGGGGGAGCUAAUCCCACAAAGCCGAUCGUAGUCCGGAUCGCAGUCUGCAACUCGACUGCGUGAAGUCGGAAUCGCUAGUAAUCGUGGAUCAGCAUGUCACGGUGAAUACGUUCCCGGGUCUU
rnacentral:rRNA from 1 species